rnacentral:rRNA from 2 species
AGAUUCGGCCUCACCGUCCCAACGAUUUGU